GGGCCGUCUGGGAUCCGGCCCUUGAGGGGGGGGCUGUAGGGUGGGUUAUGGGGGGGGCUGAGCCGCCGCCGACUGCGGAGGUGUUCCGUGUCCCCGAGCUGGAGCCGACUACGGAGGUGUUCCGUGUCCCCGAGCUGGAGCCGACUACGGAGGUGUUCCGUGUCCCCGAGCUGGAGCCGACUACGGAGGUGUUCCCUGUCCACGAUCCGACCCCGACAACCGCGGAGGUGUUCCGUGUCCCCGAGCCGGAGCCGACUACCGCGGAGGUGUUCCGUGUCCCCGAGCCGGAGCCGACUACCGCGGAGGUGUUCCGUGUCCCCGAGCCGGAGCCGACGACUGCGGAGGUGUUCCGUGUCCCCGAGCCGCCGCCGACCCCCCCGGAGGUUUCCCGUGUCCCCGAGCCUGCCAUGCCAGAGACGUUCCGGAGCUGGCCAAAUGACCGUCCGCCGGGCCGCCCACCGGAGGCUCCCCGGCAGUGUGCCUAUCCGCCAGGCCGACCCCCAGAGGUUCCCCGGUCGCCUGGCCGCCCGCCGGGCCGCCCGCCAGAGUUUCCCGGGUGGUCCGACCAACGUCUCUGGUUUCCCUGCCCCCCCACCCCUUGUUUUGCUCUAGUGUGAGCCGCCUGGAAGUCGGUCCUUGAGGGGGGGGUACUGUCACGGUGUGGUUUCACUUCCUGUUGUAUUUUGUAGUUUUCUGCCACUCGUGUCCCCGGGUAACUUCACUUCCUGCCUUGUCCCGUCAUCCCCUGUGAUCGUCUAAUAGUUUCCACCUGUGUCCAAUCACCUGCACCUCCCUUGUGUAUUUAAGCCAUGUGUCUCCUGUGUCACUUGUCGCGUCAUUGUCUUUUGUCACACAUGUUGCCUGCUGCUUUUCCUCCCGGUUCCUGUGUUUUUGACCAUUGACUAUUAAAG
ensembl:lncRNA